rnacentral:rRNA from 1 species
GACGAACGCUGGCGGCGUGCUUAACACAUGCAAGUCGAACGGUGAAGCUCUAGCUUGCUGGAGUGGAUCAGUGGCGAACGGGUGAGUAACACGUGAGCAACCUGCCCCAGACUUUGGAAUAAGCGCUGGAAACGGCGUCUAAUACUGGAUACGAGAUCAAGCCGCAUGGUUAUGGUCUGGAAAGUUUUUCGGUUUGGGAUGGGCUCGCGGCCGAUUAGCUUGUUGGUGAGGUAAUGGCUGACCAAGGCGACGACGGGUAGCCGGCCUGAGAGGGCGACCGGCCACACGGGGACUGAGACACGGCCCAGACUCCUACGGGAGGCAGCAGUGGGGAAUAUUGCACAAUGGGCGGAAGCCUGAUGCAGCGACGCCGCGUGGGGGAUGACGGCCUUCGGGUUGUAAACCUCUUUCAGCAGGGAAGAAGCGAAAGUGACGGUACCUACAGAAGAAGCACCGGCUAACUACGUG